GAGAGUAGGCGUAGGCGGUUGCAGAUCAGUCACAAAAACUGAAUUUGAGGAAAGUCCGGGCUCCCGAAAGACCAAACUUGCUGGAUAACGUCCAGUGCGAGCGAUCGUGAGGAUAGUGCCACAGAAAGAUACCGCCAAUUAGUCAUUAGUCAUUUGUCAUUAGUCAUUUGGAAAAACACAAAGGACAAAGGACAAAGAACAAAUGACCAAAUUGGUAAGGGUGCAAAGGUGCGGUAAGAGCGCACCAGCAACGUCGAGAGGCGUUGGCUCGGUAAACCCCGGUUGGGAGCAAGGCGAAAGGAACUAUGGUUGGUCUUUUACCAGUUCCGCUAAAACAGAGCCGCUAGAGGCGUUUGGUAACAAACGUCCCAGAUAGAUAACCGCCCUCAUGUAGAGAAGUUACUUGUAACAUUUCUACAUUCGAGAACAGAACCCGGCUUACUACCAACUCUUUCCC
rnacentral:RNase_P_RNA from 13 species